UACGGAGGAUGCAAGCGUUAUCCGGAAUGAUUGGGCGUAAAGCGUCCGCAGGUGGCUGUGUAAGUCUGCUGUUAAAGAGUGAGGCUCAACCUCAUAAAAGCAGUGGAAACUACACGGCCAGAGUGCGUUCGGGGCAGAGGGAAUUCCUGGUGUAGCGGUGAAAUGCGUAGAUAUCAGGAAGAACACCGGUGGCGAAAGCGCUCUGCUAGGCCGCAACUGACACUGAGGGACGAAAGCUAGGGGAGCAAACGGG
rnacentral:rRNA from 1 species